rnacentral:rRNA from 1 species
UUAACGCUGAGGUGUGAUGACGAGGCACUACGGUGCUGAAGUAACAAAUGCCCUGCUUCCAGGAAAAGCCUCUAAGCAUCAGGUAACAUCAAAUCGUACCCCAAACCGACACAGGUGGUCAGGUAGAGAAUACCAAGGCGCUUGAGAGAACUCGGGUGAAGGAACUAGGCAAAAUGGUGCCGUAACUUCGGGAGAAGGCACGCUGAUAUGUAGGUGAAGCCCCUGCGGGUGGAGCUGAAAUCAGUCGAAGAUACCAGCUGGCUGCAACUGUUUAUUAAAAACACAGCACUGUGCAAACACGAAAGUGGACGUAUACGGUGUGACGCCUGCCCGGUGCCGGAAGGUUAAUUGAUGGGGUUAGCGGUAACGCGAAGCUCUUGAUCGAAGCCCCGGUAAACGGCGGCCGUAACUAUAACGGUCCUAAGGUAGCGAAAUUCCUUGUCGGGUAAGUUCCGACCUGCACGAAUGGCGUAAUGAUGGCCAGGCUGUCUCCACCCGAGACUCAGUGAAAUUGAACUCGCUGUGAAGAUGCAGUGUACCCGCGGCAAGACGGAAAGACCCCGUGAACCUUUACUAUAGCUUGACACUGAACACUGGUCCUUGAUGUGUAGGAUAGGUGGGAGGCUUUGAAGUGUGGACGCCAGUCUGCAUGGAGCCGUCCUUGAAAUACCACCCUUUAAUGGCUGGUGUUCUAACGUAGACCCGUGAUCCGGGUUGCGGACAGUGUCUGGUGGGUAGUUUGACUGGGGCGGUCUCCUCCCAAAGAGUAACGGAGGAGCACGAAGGUUAGCUAAUCCUGGUCGGACAUCAGGAGGUUAGUGCAAUGGCAUAAGCUAGCUUGACUGCGAGAGUGACGGCUCGAGCAGGUGCGAAAGCAGGUCAUAGUGAUCCGGUGGUUCUGAAUGGAAGGGCCAUCGCUCAACGGAUAAAAGGUACUCCGGGGAUAACAGGCUGAUACCGCCCAAGAGUUCAUAUCGACGGCGGUGUUUGGCACCUCGAUGUCGGCUCAUCACAUCCUGGGGCUGAAGUAGGUCCCAAGGGUAUGGCUGUUCGCCAUUUAAAGUGGUACGCGAGCUGGGUUUAGAACGUCGUGAGACAGUUCGGUCCCUAUCUGCCGUGGGCGCUGGAGAAUUGAGGGGGGCUGCUCCUAGUACGAGAGGACCGGAGUGGACGCAUCACUGGUGUUCGGGUUGUCAUGCCAAUGGCACUGCCCGGUAGCUAAAUGCGGAAAAGAUAAGUGCUGAAAGCAUCUAAGCACGAAACUUGCCCCGAGAUGAGUUCUCCCUGAGACUUUAAGUCUCCUGAAGGAACGUUGAAGACGACGACGUUGAUAGGUCGGGUGUGUAAGCGCAGCGAUGCGUUGAGCUAACCGAUACUAAUGAACCGUGAGGCUUAACCUUACAACGCCGAAGGUGUUU